rnacentral:rRNA from 1 species
AGAGUUUGAUCCUGGCUCAGAUUGAACGCUGGCGGCAUGCCUAACACAUGCAAGUCGAACGGCAGCACAGAGGAGCUUGCUCCUUGGGUGGCGAGUGGCGGACGGGUGAGUAAUGCAUCGGGACCUACCCAGGCGUGGGGGAUAACCUCGGGAAACCGGGACUAAUACCGCAUACGUCCUACGGGAGAAAGCGGGGGACCUUCGGGCCUCGCGCGGUUGGACGGACCGAUGUGCGAUUAGCUAGUUGGUAGGGUAAUGGCCUACCAAGGCGACGAUCGCUAGCUGGUCUGAGAGGAUGAUCAGCCACACUGGGACUGAGACACGGCCCAGACUCCUACGGGAGGCAGCAGUGGGGAAUAUUGGACAAUGGGCGAAAGCCUGAUCCAGCAAUGCCGCGUGUGUGAAGAAGGCCCUCGGGUUGUAAAGCACUUUUAUCAGGAACGAAAUACCACGGGUUAAUAACCCAUGGGGCUGACGGUACCUGAGGAAUAAGCACCGGCUAACUUCGUGCCAGCAGCCGCGGUAAUAC